UGCAAGUCGAGCGAACGGACGAGAAGCUUGCUUCUCUGAUGUUAGCGGCGGACGGGUGAGUAACACGUGGAUAACCUACCUAUAAGACUGGGAUAACUUCGGGAAACCGGAGCUAAUACCGGAUGAUAUUUUGAACCGCAUGGUUCAAAAGUGAAAGACGGUCUUGCUGUCACUUAUAGAUGGAUCCGCGCUGCAUUAGCUAGUUGGUAAGGUAACGGCUUACCAAGGCAACGAUGCAUAGCCGACCUGAGAGGGUGAUCGGCCACACUGGAACUGAGACACGGUCCAGACUCCUACGGGAGGCAGCAGUAGGGAAUCUUCCGCAAUGGGCGAAAGCCUGACGGAGCAACGCCGCGUGAGUGAUGAAGGUCUUCGGAUCGUAAAACUCUGUUAUUAGGGAAGAACAUAUGUGUAAGUAACUGUGCACAUCUUGACGGUACCUAAUCAGAAAGCCACGGCUAACUACGUGCCAGCAGCCGCGGUAAUACGUAGGUGGCAAGCGUUAUCCGGAAUUAUUGGGCGUAAAGCGCGCGUAGGCGGUUUUUUAAGUCGGAUGUGAAAGCCCACGGCUCAACCGUGGAGGGUCAUUGGAAACUGGAAAACUUGAGUGCAGAAGAGGAAAGUGGAAUUCCAUGUGUAGCGGUGAAAUGCGCAGAGAUAUGGAGGAACACCAGUGGCGAAGGCGACUUUCUGGUCUGUAACUGACGCUGAUGUGCGAA
rnacentral:rRNA from 1 species